UGAGGUUUGUUUCCUCAAACGACACUUCAUCGCAACUAAAUUUACUUACGCGAAAUAAUCUGUUAACGUAGCGUUAAUAAAUCAGUCGUCCAAAUUACAAUCGUAAAACAUUAAAGUCCCGAUGCAGCGAUUAAAAUGUUAAACGCGGUCUAGGCCAUCGUUUUAUUGCGAACGAGAAGUUCAACGAGGAACGUGCGAAUAAUUGCAAACCUUCGUGUUAUUUAGCGAACAGUGAAAGGGGCAGCAUUCGUCGGACCCGCAUAAUUUUCCAUACAUUACAAAAAUAUUAUCAUGAAAUUCUAUUUCAAAAUAAUACUUUUCUUAUUUCGGAAGAAUGUAAUUAGUCACAUUUACGCAUUUUGUAAGAGUUUACCUCGGUGAGAGAUUUCUCAAAGUUACGUUUAAUUCAUUGUACGAUUAUCGGGCCAAUUUCAUGAACAUAAUCAUCCUAAUUUUGUUGUUCGUUAUUGCGAAAGAGAAUCUUUCGCGUGGCAUUGACCGUGAAUAUGACAAUUCGCAGAGAUUGCGAUGAUUAAUCAUAGAAAGUAAGUUCGUUCUAUAACGCGAGUAAAAAACAAAACAAAAGAAAAAGAAAAAAAAAAAGAAAAUUGAUCGAGUCCUCUCGUAAUUGGCUCAAGUGUAACGACGUUAUUAAAAAGAAGCCCGAUAGAGACUUCUGUUGAAAACUAUACUUUUCUUUUUGCACGUGUGCGUGUAUAGAAGUUUACUACGUUCAGGUCCGUUCACUGACUCGCCAACGGAUUUGACCCUUUUUUCUUCACGAGCACACGGUCCACUCGCCUUUCUCCGGCCAAUUAAUUUCUCUCCGGAACAUUAUAGUACUAUAUCCGUAUGUGCUUGUGUGUGUGUGUGUGUGUUGUGUGUAUGCAAGAAAAAAAACAUCUACUCCACGCUUCAAAGAUCGUGCGUCACGAAAUUCGAGAACACCGUUUAGCUCUUGGAUCCAUCAUCAAAUUCUUUUGUAAUAGGGGCUACUUCGUACUCGUUUCCUAGAUCGUUUUAAUUUUUCUUCGUCGUCAUCAAAGAUAAAUUAUUUCUUUAAAUAUUCGUACAAAUUAGACGCGAUUUAUUUAAUCAUCAUUAUCGAGACAUCUCGCAUGAUUCACGUUUCUCCUACUCAAAUCAAUUCGAAUGAUUUAUGAGACAAUGUCCGUUUAUAGCGUUUUUAGAUUUGUAGGUUAAAAUAGAUUUAAAAAAAAGAAAAAGAAACAUCGAGAGGAGAAAUGUUAGAGAAAAGUAUCGAGAAAGGAGACUCUAUUGCUUUUGCGAGAUACGUCGUUCGAUCAGGUUUUGUCUAUAAUAUACCGGGUGAUUGUAUUAUCGCGUUAGUUUUAUUAUCAUUUCUAUUAAUUUUGUUGCCGAGAGGACUAGACGUUUACUUUAAUAAAGAAAUGGUUCUUACGAAAGACAAAGACAGGGAAAAGAAAGAAAAAAAAGUAAAAGAUAGAUAAUCACUUUCGACCACGCGAUUACUAACGGAGAAAGAAAACGGUUCUUUGACUAUCUUACUCUCCGUUAUACUCUUAUAUUUCGUAAUACUCUUCUCGUUCCAGACUUUAAUUCUCCGUCUGGGAGAAUACAUUUUGGAAUAAUUUCGUGCCAGUUUUGAGUAUAUCAAUGUCAGGGCUACGACUCGUCUGGAUUCUUCUUUUUCUUUUCCUUUUUUCCAAAAUCCUAUUGAAAUUCGAGAUUGUUUUAUAGGACACACCGUAGUUCGGUCAUAACUUUUGUCCGAAACUUUCUCGCGGAUAGAAACGAGAUUGGUCGGAUUUGUAAUAGUAGAAAAAAAAUAAAAUAUUUUGUAUAAAUGAAACGUUUUUUGAAGUCUUGUAAAAUGAAUAGAAUAGACAAUGUUUAGAGUCAGUUAAACAACGAUUAUUCGUUUGUUCCCGAUAUUCCUUGCUUCUUCUAGUGUUUGACGAACGUCGGCUGAUUUCUAUUUGAUAGCCUACUCAUAACGAAAAAAAAUAAUAAAGGCAUUCGAGCCAAGAAAAAUAGACUAAACUUACGAUGAUUGAGAUAUCAGCUAAUUUUACCGUCCACUAUUUAUGCACAGGAAAUUGAUGGUAAUUUAAUCGAAUUUAUCCGAGUAAAAGAAGGUAUAGUCGAACUUGGAUAGAAUAAUGAAAUGCACUCGCGUGAGUUUGUUUUUACGCGAAGUGAAAUCAGGAAGGAUUCGUUUCCGGACAAAGACAAGAUAGCAGUCGAUGCUACGUACAGACGAAGAUUAAACCUUGAAAAGUAGAGAUUUAUUUACGCCCGCGUUCUCAGUGAAACGAGAAAGGCUGAUAGAGUAUGUUGUGCAGUUGGUCUGUGCGGUAUAAUCUUUAAGAAUUGCCUGACUUUCAUCGCGAACCCAGUCGGGCGUCCACUUUCAAUGCGAGUGUCCUUUCAUAUGUAAAUCAGAGCAACGUUGCAUUCCAACUUCGACGUUAUUUAUCAAUUAUUCUAACAAACUCGUUCGUUUUUCUUGACAUACUCUAAACAUAUACCUACGACAAAUUAUUCCAAGUUAUUUUUUCCUACGAAUCGCUAAUUUCUCGUUUGUUUUUUUUACGAAAACACUGAAUUACGUUUGUAAGAUGCAACAUUGAUAAUUUGAGUUUGCCGACCCUCUUAAUUCGUGGAUCACGUAACUAGGUAAACGACUAUGUUGGUGCCUACUUUUCUGCGGAGAGGUCAUCAUCAACGAGUGGUUACGGUUGAUCCACUUUACCGUUUCAUUCCUCAUCUCGUUAGAGUCUAGUGUCAAGAGAUGAUCGUCGAUGAUAUCGAGAAGAAAUCUCUCUCGUCGACAUUUUCCAAAUCUUUAUCGCCAAGCUUUGUUUCAUUCGUCGACGCUAUUUCGCACAUAUCUCACGUUCGAAAAGAAAUACAGGUCGCUACGACGAAUGAUGGAAAAGACAAUAAACAUAAUUCAAUGUCUUCGCGUAUGCGUCCCCGUGCACGUAUAAAAACCCAUACAAGAUUAAAGGAUGACACGGUUUCCAUGAAUCCGAGGUUAGUGAACCUACAACUAGAUGCACCAUACAACUCGUUCAAACCUAAAUUGCAUAUACGUCUGACUCACGUUAAUCAUAUUCUUGUUUAUCGAUCGAUCGAUAAACGAGAAUCGCGAACAACUAUUUCAACACAUUCGAUCGUUGCCUUGAAAAGCGAAAAUCGAUAGUUUGCCAUUCCACUCGUGUCUUCUUCGAUUCGAUCACUUGGAACACACUUUGAUUCAACGGUUAACUACGAAACGAGAAUAAUAAAUCUACCUAACGAAGAAUAAACAUAAUAAUAGGAAGUAUUCCUUAUUAAGUUUACCGUUAAUCGGAUCCUAUUGUCUUAUUCAUUAUACUCAACGAUAUUCAACCGUUCAAAUUGUCCUGUUGAUAUCUAAAUGUGUCGUGAGACAUCGGAGAUAUGUAUACGCGUUAAUUACAGAAACUCUAAUUAAAUGUUGAAAAUGAAUAGACCCGUAGACGAAUCCAUUGUUAAAUGAGACGUUCGAAUCGUUAGGAAGACAAAAACAACCGACAACGACACAAAAAAUAUACAAAA
rnacentral:lncRNA from 1 species